GCCGACGUGACGGAAUUGGUAAACGUACCGCCACAGCGGUCCCGGGAGACUCAGGUCUCCCGGGUGCAGGUUCAAUCCCUGCCGUCGGCUCCA
rnacentral:tRNA from 1 species